rnacentral:lncRNA from 1 species
AAUUGUCUUGGUCAAAGCGGGUAUACCAGCUUAUUUUAGAGAAAAAAGAAUAGCUGUUUCCAUCCUUUAAAUUUUGUAUUUGGGAAACAAGGGGGAUAACCCCUUAUUCCCCUCCCAUGUUCUCCAACCAAACAAGGCCGAACAACUUUAACGGGUUGUUCUAAAAUAACCUAUUUUAAUCGGAAUAACUUGUUCCAUUCAAUUCUUCUACCAUUUAGUUAAUUAAUUUAUUAGUUAUAAUUAAUUAGCUAAUUAAAAAUUAAUAACUUAAUGUGUUUAUACAUAAACUAAUAUUUAUAUUGAUCAACCAAUAAUAUUUUGACUAAUCUAAUUAAUUUCUUCACUAACUAUCUAACUAAAAUAAUUUACUAACUAAUUAAAAAGUUAAAUUACUUUUUAUAUUUAAUUAAUUAAUUAAUAUAUUUUUAUUAUCAUAUACAAUAUUCAUAGCUAUAAAUUUAUUAGUUUAUUGAAUUAUUUUUAAUUAAUAUUUUUUAUUUUAAUUAAUUAAAUAAAAUAUUUUUAAUUUAAAAUUAUAACUCUUAUUCCCCCUGUUCCAAUUUAACCAUCCAAAUACUGUUUACCUUAUUUUCAGGAACAAACUAAUUUCAUCUAAAUACAAAAUUGGUCUAGUUACUGCUUACAUCUGAACAAUUGUACUUAUCCCUGAAAAAAGCAGUUCUUAUUUAUACCCUAAUGAUGCUUAAGAAUUAAGAACAAGUUUGUUCUUCUCUUAUUUUAUUAGAUAAAUAGAUAUAUAAAUAAAUAUAUUAAUAUAAAUAUAUCUAUGAUAAUAUAUUUAUUCUUAAAUCUUAUUAUAAAAUAAAAAUUAACUAAAGUUGAUAUAUUAUUUAUUUUAUUGUUUUAUAAUUGAUAUAUUAAUAUUUUAAUUAUUUUAUUUUUAUUAAGUAUUAUAUAUAUUAAAUUAUUUUUUAUAUAUUAUAUAUAUUUUUUAAAUUUGUAUUGAAAUUCAUACUAUUAUUAAUUAAAAUUAUAAGGAUAUUGUUAGUAUUAUAUUUUAUUCAUUCCAUAUAUUAUGGAUAAAUUAUAUAAAAUAAAUUUUUACAUAAAAUAAAUUAUUAUAUAAAAUAAAAUAAAUAUACUGAUAUAAAUUAAAAUGUUAUGUAAAAUAUUAUAUUAUAAAUUGUUAUAUAAAAUAAUUUUAUAAAUAAUUUUAUAUAAAAUAUACUAAUAUAAAUAAAUUAUUUUAUUUUUAAAAACUUAUUUAGACAUUGCUUUAAACUUUUUACCCAAAAGCUACUAAAGAUAUCCUCCAAAAUAUCCUUGAAUGCAUCCAACAAUUUACUGUUGUUCUAACUUAUUAAGUUAUUAAUUUUUAAUUAGCUAAUUAAUUAUAACUAAUAAAUUAAUUAAUAAUUUAAUACUAUAAUUAAAAUUAAAUUUAGAUUUUAAUUAAACUUAUUCCCACUUGGAACAAGUAUGUUCUAGGAACAUGGGCAGAUGAUCAGUUACAGACUUAUACCAGCUUAUUUUAGAGAAAAAAGAAUAGCUGUUUCCAUCCUUUAAAUUUUGUAUUUGGGAAACAAGGGGGAUAACCCCUUAUUCCCCUCCCAUGUUCUCCAACCAAACAAGGCCGAACAACUUUAACGGGUUGUUCUAAAAUAACCUAUUUUAAUCGGAAUAACUUGUUCCAUUCAAUUCUUCUACCAUUUAGUUAAAAAUUGGGGGAUAUCCCUCGUUGUUCUGGGAUACCCCUGGUACUAAAUGCAAUCUUAGAUAUCGUUUGGUUUGGGGAUAAACAAAAAGUUGCUAUUCAAGGGAUAGGUAUAAAUUGAGGUAUAAGCGAGGAUUAAAUCAAUUUUACGUUUGGAUGAAAAUUGGGUUAUUCCUGGGAAUAAAAAAAAUAGCAUUUGGUUAGAUAAGAUGGAAUAAGAAUAAAACUGGGUAGUUAUAAAUAAAAAAUAAUGAUAUUAUCCCUCUCCUUAUAUUUGAAUUUGAAUUUUUAAAUUUUAUAUAUAUAUAUAUAUAUAGUAAUAUAAUAUAUAUAUAUAAUAUAUAUAUAUAUUUAAAAUUUAAAAUUUUAACUUUUAAAUUUCAAAUUUCAAAUUAAAUUUUAAAAUUCAAAAUCUCAAAAUUUAAAUUCAAAAUUUUAAAUUU